GCCCUUGAGUUUGAUCCUGGCUCAGGAUGAACGCUAGCGGGAGGCUUAACACAUGCAAGUCGAGGGGCAUCACGAGGUAGCAAUACUUUGGUGGCGACCGGCGCACGGGUGAGUAACACGUAUGCAACCUUCCCUGUACAGGGGGAUAACCCGGAGAAAUUCGGACUAAUACCCCAUGAUGAUAUUUAUGGGCAUCCAUUGAUAUUUAAAGCUCUGGCGGUACAGGAUGGGCAUGCGCGACAUUAGCUAGUUGGUAAGGUAACGGCUUACCAAGGCUACGAUGUUUAGGGGACCUGAGAGGGUUGUCCCCCACACUGGUACUGAGACACGGACCAGACUCCUACGGGAGGCAGCAGUGAGGAAUAUUGGUCAAUGGGCGCAAGCCUGAACCAGCCAUCCCGCGUGAAGGAAGAAUGCGCUACGCGUUGUAAACUUCUUUUCCAGGGGGAGAAUAAUCCUGUCGUGACAGGACUUGACGGUACUCUGGGAAUAAGCAUCGGCUAACUCCGUGCCAGCAGCCGCGGUAAUACGGAGGAUGCGAGCGUUAUCCGGAUUUAUUGGGUUUAAAGGGUGCGUAGGCGGAUUGAUAAGUCAGUGGUGAAAUUCUACAGCUUAACUGUAGACUUGCCGUUGAUACUGUUAGUCUUGAGUGUGGUCAAGGCAGGCGGAAUGUGUAAUGUAGCGGUGAAAUGCUUAGAUAUUACACAGAACACCGAUUGCGAAGGCAGCUUGCUGGGUCAUUACUGACGCUGAUGCACGAAAGCGUGGGGAUCAAACAGGAUUA
rnacentral:rRNA from 1 species